rnacentral:rRNA from 1 species
AACGAACGUUAGCGGCGCGCCUAACACAUGCAAGUCGAGCGAGAAAGGGCUUCGGCCCCCGGUAAAGCGGCGCACGGGUGAGUAACACGUGGAUAACCUACCCCUUGGUGGUGGAUAACCUUCCGAAAGGAGGGCUAAUACAGCGUAAGACCACGACUUCGAAAGAGGUUGGGGUAAAAGUGGGCCUCUGUACACAAGCUCACGCCAGGGGAUGGGUCCGCGGCCCAUCAGCUAGUUGGUAGGGUAACGGCCUACCAAGGCGAAGACGGGUAGCUGGUCUGAGAGGAUGAUCAGCCACACUGGAACUGAGACACGGUCCAGACUCCUACGGGAGGCAGCAGUGGGAAUCUUGCGCAAUGGACGAAAAGUCUGACGCAGCGACGCCGCGUGAGUGAU